rnacentral:tRNA from 1 species
AUUUAAAUAGUUUAUAAAAAAUAUUGGUUUGUGGUACCAAAGAAAUAUUAUUUAUUUUAAAUU